AUACGGAGGGGGCAAGCGUUGUUCGGAAUUACUGGGCGUAAAGGGCGCGUAGGCGGGAAGUCAAGUUAGGGGUGAAAGGCCUGGGCUCAACCUAGGAACUGCCUCUAAAACUGGCUAUCUAGAGUCCGGGAGAGGAUGGCGGAAUUCCCAGUGUAGAGGUGAAAUUCGUAGAUAUUGGGAAGAACACCAGUGGCGAAGGCGGCCAUCUGGUCCGGCACUGACGCUGAGGCGCGAAAGCGUGGGGAGCAAACAGGAUUAGAUACCCCAGUAGUCC
rnacentral:rRNA from 1 species